rnacentral:rRNA from 1 species
AUUGAACGCUGGCGGCAGCCCUAACACAUGCAAGUCGAGCGGGGUUUUCGGACCUAGCGGCGGACGGGUGAGUAAUGCGUAGGAAGCUGCCCGAUAGAGGGGGAUACCAGUUGGAAACGACUGUUAAUACCGCAUAAUGUCUACGGACCAAAGUGUGGGACCUUCGGGCCACAUGCUAUCGGAUGCGCCUACGUGGGAUU